rnacentral:rRNA from 1 species
UACGAAGGGGGCUAGCGUUGCUCGGAAUCACUGGGCGUAAAGCGCACGUAGGCGGAUUGCUAAGUCAGGGGUGAAAUCCUGGAGCUCAACUCCAGAACUGCCUUUGAUACUGGCGACCUUGAGUCCGGGAGAGGUGAGUGGAACUGCGAGUGUAGAGGUGAAAUUCGUAGAUAUUCGGCAAGAACACCAGUGGCGAAGGCGGCUCACUGGCCCGGUACUGACGCUGAGGUGCGAAAGCGUGGGGAGCAACAGG